rnacentral:rRNA from 1 species
CAGUCGCCGCGGGAAAACGAAGGGUGCAAGCGUUAAUCGGAAUUACUGGGCGUAAGGGGUGCGUAGGCGGUUGUUUAAGUCUGUUGUGAAAUCCCCGGGCUCAACCUGGGAAUGGCAAUGGAAACUGGACGGCUAGAGUGUGUCAGAGGAUGGUGGAAUUCCCGGUGUAGCGGUGAAAUGCGUAGAGAUCGGAAGGAACAUCUGUGGCGAAGGCGACUAUCUGGGCCAACACUGACACUGAGGCACGAAAGCGUGGGGAGCAAACAGGAUUAGAUACCCCCGUAGUCCCUGUCUCUUAUAC